rnacentral:rRNA from 1 species
UGGGGAAUAUUGCACAAUGGGCGCAAGCCUGAUGCAGCCAUGCCGCGUGUAUGAAGAAGGCCUUCGGGUUGUAAAGUACUUUCAGCGGGGAGGAAGGGAGUAAAGUUAAUACCUUUGCUCAUUGACGUUACCCGCAGAAGAAGCACCGGCUAACUCCGUGCCAGCAGCCGCGGUAAUACGGAGGGUGCAAGCGUUAAUCGGAAUUACUGGGCGUAAAGCGCACGCAGGCGGUUUGUUAAGUCAGGUGUGAAAUCCUCGGGCUCAACCUGGGAACUGCCUCUGAAACUGGCAAGCUUGAGUCUCGUAGAGGGGGGUAGAAUUCCAGGUGUAGCGGUGAAAUGCGUAGAGAUCUGGAGGAAUACCGGUGGCGAAGGCGGCCCCCUGGACGAAGACUGACGCUCAGGUGCGAAAGCGUGGGGAGCAAACAGG